CACCUUUUCCCCAGACAUCCUCUUUCUGAAUGGAUGGAGAAUCCACCCCAACCCUGACCUGACUGCACCCUGGACGUUGAGAUGGCUUUUCUCAUCCUCUUCCUCUUUGCUCUUCUAUAUGUUGCAGCUAGACCAGCAUUCACCAUUCAAUGCCGAACUUGUACAGGUGUAAAUAUUGAGUGUACUGGCACCCUCACCACGUGCAGCUCUGAGUACGACACCUGUCGCUUAAUUUUCACUGAAGCAACACUGU